rnacentral:rRNA from 1 species
AUGGUUGAAGAUGGAGAGGACCAAAGCUCUUCUGACAAGGUCAAGGUAACUCCACGAUCAAAUCCUCCUCUCUUCACUCCAUCUACUCCUAGUGAUGAGUAUCUUGAUGCGGAGGAUAGUUAUGAGGAUGAUGAUCUAGAUGAUCCUAUGAUUGCUAAACUUAAUAAGUUCAUGUGCUCCCUCAAAGGAAAGAAGCUCACUAUGUUUCGUAUGCUUAUGGAGAUGGUGAGUAAGCACACCAUCACCAUUAAGGAACUCGAAACCCUCAUCACUGAGGAAAAGGAAAAAUGUGAAAUCCUUGAGCGGAAAGUCCAAUAUGAGGAAGCAUGA